rnacentral:ncRNA from 2 species
UAGAUUUGACUAGAAUUAGGUUCUUUAUUAAAUUUCAAUUUAAAAUAGAUUAAAAGGGAAUUAAGUGUAAAUCUUAAACUGUUCCCGCAGCUGUAAACUCAGUAGUUGUUUUACAAUCUUUUGCCACUAUCAAUAGUUAUUGGAUGGGAAGGCGUAAAACAGAAGUAAGUCAGAAGACCUGCCUUUUUCAAAAUAACAUA